AUUUGGAGGGGAGAGAAAGAGGGAGAGAGAAGCGAACGGGCGCUUCGUCAAGCGCCGGGCUGCAGCACAAGAUACGAGAGCUUUGCGCCCGCUUGCAGCCCGUGGCGAGCGCUAGAGCCGGCGCUCUCGAUCCCCUGCGCCUCUCCCGCCUCCGGCGCUUCUCCUUCCUCCUUCGCGCGCGAAAAUCAGCCCAUGCCGUCGCCCCAAAUAGCUUCCUCGCGCCAAAUCAAGCCUUCCAAAUUUCCCCAAAUCGCCACCUCUCCCGAACCCUAGAACUGUCGCCGGCGCACAUCAAGGAGAUGGGUCAGCAGUCCAAACAGACGCGCGCGCCGGCACCUCGUGAAGCCCCUCCACCAGCGCCUCUGCUCACCCCGCCGCCAGCGCAUCUCCUGGUCCCGCCGCCGGCGCAUCUGCUGGUCCCGCCACCGGCGCAUCUGUUGGUCUCGCCGGCGCCUAAGUCCGCCCCGCCGCCGGGGAUCCCGUCGGCCUUCCCUUCAAAGCAGAGAACAAGCACUUGGAUCCCCACAAGACCACAAGAGUCUCUGGCGGCUAGUCUGCAGCAACCAAGUGAAUCGGGUCCUACGGCUCAAGGUCCUUGCUGGGCACCGCCUGCUUGCAUCGGUGACUCUACAUCACCUUGAUACAUCGCUGGCAAUAUGGACUACUCUGAUCCACAAGUAUGGGGAGUGGAUUCUCACCCACCUGGUGGUUACCUUAGUUACUUUCAGAACACGGCAUUGAUUGCUAGGAAGUAUUGAUUGCAUGCAUUGGCGAUGGGAGAAGUGUCCUCUUGCAUGGAGGGGGCAAUUCACCCGCGGCGAUUAUGGAGUACCAACGAUGAUCCUAGAAGCCGUUGCUUCCCAGGACCUUCGUAUUUGGCAUGCUUUUUUUGGAGUUGCUGGGUCAAAUAAUGAUCUGAAUGUGCUCAAUCAAUCCCCACUGUUUUUUGAUGCACUGAAAGGAGAAGCCCCUCAAGUCCAAUUUUCUGUCAAUGGGAAUGAGUAUACCACAGGUUACUACCUUGCUGAUGGUAUAUACCCAGAAUGGGCUGCCUUCAUGAAGACUAUACCACUUCCCCAAAUAGAGAAGCACAAGUUGUUUGCCCAGAAGCAAGAAGGGGCAAGGAAAGAUGUCGAGCGCGCUUUUGGGGUAUUACAGUUCCGUUUUACCAUUGUCCGUCGGCCUGCACGUCUAUGGAAGAGAAAGAGUGUUGGAAGGAUCAUGAGGGCUUGUGUGAUUCUCCACAAUAUGAUAAUCGAAGAUGAGACAGAGCAGGCAAAAAUUCAUAUUGACUUGAAUGAGAUUCCGGGGGCUUCAUUUGCUCUACCUCCCGAAGUGAAUGUUGGUGGUAAUCUAUGUUUCGCAGAUGUGUUGCGUAGAAAAGCUACUAUUCGUGCUCGUCCACAGCAUGCCCAACUUAAAAGUGAUUUAGUCGAGCAUAUCUGGCAUAAGUUUCAAAACAGCCAUCAUAAUUAAUCAUGGAGUGAGCUGUGAUGUGGUGAUUGCGGCAGCUGUUACUUAUAGUGGUUGAAGGUUAUUGAUGCAAAUGAGUGGUUGCUCCUUUCCAGCGAAGUACCCUCCAUGCUUUGUGACUUUUGUCAUCGUCCAGAUCAAAACUAUGAUUGUUGCUUGUGGUCGUGAACGGCUUGUUUGCCGGAGAUGUUAUCUAUUAUGUUUGCUGAAUGCUUUCUUAAAGACUUAUGUAAUCUUAAGUAAUUACUCAUGAUGCUAUGGAGUAGUAUGAUGCUGUGUGAC